rnacentral:rRNA from 1 species
AACGAACGCUGGCGGCAUGCCUAACACAUGCAAGUCGAACGAGACCUUCGGGUCUAGUGGCGCACGGGUGCGUAACGCGUGGGAACCUGCCCUUAGGUUCGGAAUAACUCCCCGAAAGGGGUGCUAAUACCGGAUAAUGUCUUCGGACCAAAGAUUUAUCGCCUUUGGAUGGGCCCGCGUUGGAUUAGCGAGUUGGUAGGGUAAAAGCCUACCAAGGCGACGAUCCAUAGCUGGUCUGAGAGGAUGAUCAGCCACACUGGGACUGAGACACGGCCCAGACUCCUACGGGAGGCAGGAGUGGGGAAUAUUGGACAAGGGGCGAAAGCCUGAUCCAGCAAUGCCGCGUGAGUGAUGAAGGCGUUAGGGUUGUAAAGCUCUUUUACCCGGGAUGAUAAUGACAGUACCGGGAGAAUAAGCUCCGGCUAACUCCGUG